rnacentral:rRNA from 1 species
AUUUUGGACAAUGGGGGCAACCCUGAUCCAGCCAUCCCGCGUGUAUGAUGAAGGCCUUCGGGUUGUAAAGUACUUUUGGCAGAGAAGAAAAGGUAUCUCCUAAUCCGAGAUACUGCUGACGGUAUCUGCAGAAUAAGCACCGGCUACCUAUGUGCCAGCAGCCGCGGUAAUACGGAGGGUGCAAGGGUUAAUCGGAAUUACUGGGAGUAAAGCGGGUGUAGGCGGUUCGGAAAGAAAGAUGUGAAAGCCCAGGGCUCAACCUUGGAACUGCAUUUUUAACUGCCGAGCUAGAGUAUGUCAGAGGGGGGUAGAAUUCCACGUGUAGCAGUGAAAUGCGUAGAUAUGUGGAGGAAUACCGAUGGCGAAGGCAGCCCCCUGAGAUAAUACUGACGCUCAGACACGAAAGCGUGGGGAGCAAACAG